UGAAGACUCACCAAAAGCAUCAGGACAGAACUUCACCAUCACUGACAUCAGAGCUGAACACAGUGGGAAUUAUUACUGUGAAGCCCAGAACAGAAGAGGACGUCAUAACUCCACCUUACAUCUGAUUGUUGUGGCAGGAGCAGGGAAAUUAACAGUUGCUACAACAAUCACUGUUGUUCUCCUGGUUAUCAUUUCCCUCUGUCUCUUCCUGUGGAUCAGGAAAAAGAGGGCUUCCAAGGAAUCGUCUGAGCCUGAAGAGAGACCAGACAACAGGGAACAGUUUCUACCUGAACAGCCAGAGGUGCAGGAUAACCUUCAGUAUGCCAGCAUUCACUUCACCAACAACCAGGCAGAUCCUCUCUACUCCAACAUCAGACCAGCUCGCUCCCUCAGACACACGGAGCAGCAAGAUUUCAUGGAGUACGCUGUUGUC